GAAACCGAAGAGACACAAAGGGAAACCAGCUCCUGCAGCAGCUGAUGAAACAGUUUAUUCUGAAGUUAAAUCACAAACAGCUCUGGAUUAAUAACAAGAUCUGCAAAACCAACUGGAUCAGUGACAAAACUGAGUUUCAUUUGAAUUUAAGAGAGCAUUAGAGAAAUUGAGAUUAUGCACUGUUUUAUAAGAUAAAGUAAAAUAAGUAAAAUCUUUCAUCAUAAUAGCCCAAGUGAUAAUCUGGCUUUGAGACCAAGAUGCUUCGCACACAUGAACAUUCACUGAACUGCAAGUGUUGUUACAUGUUCACUGCUAAAUAAAUAAAAUAAAUAAUAAAUAAAUAAAUACAAAUACAAAUAAACAACAUCUUGAAAUCAAAAUAAUCAACCUACAGGGGGCUGAAUUUUGAUACACAUCAAAGUGAAAAAAAAAUGAUGCAGACCAUUUUGUUGAAAUUUCAUUGCACCGACUCAAAAUUAUACUGAGUAGUCAGUUUGUCUUCCAUGGACUUGUAUGCUUUCCUGACAAUUUUGGAGCAUACUCCACAAGAGAUGAUGGUGUCCUGGGGAUCUCCUCCCAGAUCUGGACAAGGGCAUCUGAGCUCCUGGACAGUCUGAGCUGCAGCAUGGCAGCUUCAGAUGGAGAGGAGCAUAAUGUCCCAGUUGGAUUUUGGUCAGGCGAGUGUGGGAACCAGUCAGUGGUAUCAAUUCCUUAAUCCUCCGGGAACUGCCUGCAUACUCUCGCCACAUGAAGCUCGGCAUUGUCAUACCAGGAGAAACCCAGGACCCACAGGCACCAGCGUAGGAUCUGACAAUGAGUGACAAACUCUUGAGACUGUGCUAGCAAACCUGACAAUUGCACGCAUUGAACUGGCAACCUAGAGAAGCUAGACUGCCUGUACAACCUCUGUAGCAUCCAGGGAUUGUCUCAUCUCAUCCUACCAGUAACGAUGAUCACUCUAGUCAAAAGUAAAACUAGUGAAAAAGACAGAAAAUAUGAGAAAGGAAAAAAUGUCAGUGACCUCUAGUUGUAAAAUGAUUCCUGAUUUGGGAUGCACCUUUUGUUAACUGCAUGUUUUGCUACUUCACAGAGCAGAGAUGUCUAAGU